AAACAUGCAAGUCGGACGGUAACAGGGACUUCGGUCCGCUGACGAGUGGCGCACGGGUGAGUAACGCGUGGGUACCUGCCUAUUAGUGGGGGACAACUACCGGAAACGGUAGCUAAUACCGCAUAAUCUCUACGGAGGAAAGCGGGGGAUUCUUCGGAACCUCGCGCUGAUAGAUGGGCCCGCGUCUGAUUAGCUAGUUGGUAAGGUAAUGGCUUACCAAGGCGAUGAUCAGUAACUGGUUUGAGAGGAUGAUCAGUCACACUGGAACUGAGACACGGUCCAGACUCCUACGGGAGGCAGCAGUGGGGAAUAUUGCACAAUGGGGGAAACCCUGAUGCAGCGACGCCGCGUGCGGGAAGAAGGCCUUAGGGUUGUAAAGCUCUUUCAACUGCGAAGAUGAUGACUGUAACAGUAGAAGAAGCUCCGGCUAACUCCGUGCCAGCAGCCGCGGUAAUACGUAAGUGGCGAGCGUUAUCCGGAAUUACUGGGCGUAAAGCGUUCGUAGGCGGCGCAGCAAGUUGGAUUUUAAAGACCGGGGCUCAACUCCGGAAGUGAGUCCAAAACUGCAGUGCUAGAGCAAAUCAGAGGGUAGUGGAAUUCCCGGUGUAGCGGUAAUAUGCGUAGAGAUCGGGAGGAACACCAGUGGCGAAGGCGGCUACCUGGGGUUGGCUGACGCUGAGGAACGAAAGCUAGGGGAGCGAACGGGAUUAGAUACCCCGGUAGUCCUAGCUGUAAACGAUGGACACUAGGUGUAGGGAGCUUCGACCCUCUCUGCGCCGUCGCUAACGCAUUAAGUGUCCCGCCUGGGGACUACGGCCGCAAGGCUAAAACUCAAAGGAAUUGACGGGGCCCCGCACAAGCAGUGGAGCAUGUGGUUUAAUUCGAUGCUACGCGAAGAACCUUACCAGGACUUGACAUCCCUCGGACCGCUUUUAGAAAUAUUAGCUUCUCUUCGGAGCCGGGGUGACAGGUGGUGCAUGGCCGUCGUCAGCUCGUGCCGUGAGGUGUUGGAUUAAGUUCCGCAACGAGCGCAACCCUCGUUGUUAGUUGCCAUCAUUAAGUUGGGCACUCUAGCGAGACUGCCAGCGUCAAGCUGGAGGAAGGUGGGGACGACGUCAGGUCAUCAUGCCCCUUACGUCCUGGGCUACACACGUGCUACAAUGGGCGGUACAACGGGUUGCCACACCGCGAGGUGGAGCGAAUCCUCAAAACCGUUCUCAGUUCGAAUUGGAGGCUGCAACUCGCCUCCAUGAAGUUGGAAUUGCUAGUAAACGUGGAUCAGCAUGCCGCGUUGAAUACGUACCCGGGGCUUGUACACACCGCCCGUCACACCAUGGAAGUUGGUAACACCCGAAGUCCGUGCGCUAACCGCAAGGAGGCAGCGGCCGAAGGUGGGAUCAAUGACUGGGGUGAAGUCGUAACAAGGUAGCC
rnacentral:rRNA from 1 species